rnacentral:lncRNA from 1 species
GUAUGAGCGUAAGCCUAGCUAUGGAAGGUCUGAGGAAGACGAAGGAGGCUACAGGCAGCCUAGCUAUGGGAGAUCUGAGGAUCAGGUUGAGAGCUACAUAAAGCCCAGCAGCUAUGGAAGGUCUGAGGAAGAGGAAGGAAGUUACAGGAAGCCUAGCUAUGGAAGGUCUGAGGAAGACGAAGGAGGCUACAGGCAGCCUAGCUAUGGCCGUCGCAAUGAUGACGAUAAUGAUGAAGAGCGCAGGAACCGUUCUGGUGAUGAUGAGGAAGGGAGCUAUGGCCG